rnacentral:rRNA from 1 species
GAGUUUGAUUCUGGCUCAGAACGAACGCUGGCGGCGCGUCUUAAGCAUGCAAGUCGAACGGCAAGAGAGGAGCUUGCUUCUCUCCUAGAGUGGCGGACUGGUGAGGAACACGUGGGUAAUCUACCCUUAAGAUGGGGAUAGCUGCUAGAAAUAGCAGAUAAUACCGAAUACACUCGAUAUUUCAUAAGAGAUUUUGAGGAAAGGAAGCUGCGGCUUCGCUUAAGGAUGAGCUUGCGUCCCAUUAGCUUGUUGGUGAGGUAACGGCCCACCAAGGCGACGAUGGGUAUCCGGCCUGAGAGGGUGAUCGGACACAUUGGGACUGAGAUACGGCCCAAACUCCUACGGGAGGCAGCAGCUAAGAAUAUUCCGCAAUGGACGGAAGUCUGACGGAGCGACGCCGCGUGGAUGAAGAAGGCUGAAAAGUUGUAAAAUCCUUUUGUUGAUGAAGAAUAAGGAGAAGAGGGAAUGCUUCUCUGAUGA